AACGAACGCUGGCGGCAUGCCUAACACAUGCAAGUCGAACGAGACCUUCGGGUCUAGUGGCGCACGGGUGCGUAACGCGUGGGAACCUGCCCUUAGGUUCGGAACAACUCCCCGAAAGGGGUGCUAAUACCGGAUAAUGUCUUCGGACCAAAGAUUUAUCGCCUUUGGAUGGGCCCGCGUUGGAUUAGCUAGUUGGUAGGGUAAAAGCCUACCAAGGCGACGAUCCAUAGCUGGUCUGAGAGGAUGAUCAGCCACACUGGGACUGAGACACGGCCCAGACUCCUACGGGAGGCAGCAGUAGGGAAUAUUGGACAAUGGGCGAAAGCCUGAUCCAGCAAUGCCGCGUGAGUGAUGAAGGCCUUAGGGUUGUAAAGCUCUUUUACCCGGGAUGAUAAUGACAGUACCGGGAGAAUAAGCUCCGGCUAACUCCGUG
rnacentral:rRNA from 1 species